rnacentral:ncRNA from 1 species
GUUAUGAAGAGUGCGAGCUGCUUGCGAAAACACUGAAAGAUAACUUCGACCUGGCUGUAUCGGUUUGCCGAUGCCAGAUGCGGGGUAAAAUGUAUUAUCGGCUUUAUGUGCGAUCCCAAAGUAUGAAUAACUUCAUACGACUCGUACAGCCGCAUAUACACCCAUCAUUCAGUUACAAAAUUUCGCUUAACAAUGGCCAGCAGCAGCGGUAAUACAGAGACCUCAAACGUUGUCCGGAUUCAUUGGGCGUAAAGCGUCCGCAGGUGGCAUGGAAAGUCAGGGGUCAAAGCUUCCGACUUAAUCGGAAAUCUGCUUCUGAUACUUCCAAGCUAGAGGUUGUGAGAGGCACACGGAACUGCCGGUGUAGUAGUAAAAUGCGUUGAUAUCGGCAGGAACACCAAAGGCGAAGGCAGUGUGCUGGAACAAUCCUGACACUCAGGGACGAAAGCGUGGGGAGCGAAUGGGAUUAGAUACCCCAGUAGUCCACGCCCUAAACUAUGUGUACUAGGUAUAUGGAGUAUCGACCCUCCAUGUGCCGUUUAAAAAAGCUAACGCGUUAAGUACACCGCCUGGGGAGUACGGCCGCAAGGUUAAAACUCAAAGGAAUAGACGGGGACCCGCACAAGCGGAGGAUCAUGCGGCCCUUAAGUGGGGUAACGAGCGCAACCCUCGUUGUGUGUUACAUUGGACACACGAGACUGCUCGCGCAAGCGAGAGGAAGGUGGGGACGACGUCAAAUCAGCAUGGCUCUUACGUCCCGGGCGACACGCAUGAUACAAUGGCCAGUACAAAGGGUUGCCAAGCCGCGAGGUGGAGCUAAUCCCAUAAAGCUGGUCUCAGUUCGGAUUGCAGGCUGCAACUCGCCUGCAUGAAGCUGGAUUCGCUAGUAAACGCGCAUCAGCCACGGCGCGUUGAAUACGUUCUCGGGUCUUGUACUCACCGCCCGUCACACCACGAAAGUUGGCAAUGCCCGAAGGCUCUCGUUCGAGGGACGAAGGCAGGGUCAAUGAUCAGGGUGAAGUCGUAACAAGGCAUCCGUAGCGGAAGCUGUGGAUGGAUCACCUCCUUU